GCCUUCGUGGUGUAGUGGUCAGCAAGCUCGACGCGUAACCGAGAGGCUGAGGCCCGUAGUUCGAUUCCCGGCGAAGGCG
rnacentral:tRNA from 1 species